AUUGAACGCUGGCGGCAGGCCUAACACAUGCAAGUCGAGCGGAUGAAGGGAGCUUGCUCCUGGAUUCAGCGGCGGACGGGUGAGUAAUGCCUAGGAAUCUGCCUGGUAGUGGGGGAUAACGUCCGGAAACGGGCGCUAAUACCGCAUACGUCCUGAGGGAGAAAGUGGGGGAUCUUCGGACCUCACGCUAUCAGAUGAGCCUAGGUCGGAUUAGCUAGUUGGUGGGGUAAAGGCCUAACAAGGCGACGAUCCGUAACUGGUCUGAGAGGAUGAUCAGUCACACUGGAACUGAGAAACGGCCCAGACUCCUACGGGAGGACGCAGUGGGGAAUAUUGGACAAUGGGCGAAAGCCUGAUCCAGCCAUGCCGCGUGUGUGCAGAAGGUCUUAGGAUUGGAAAGCACUUUAAGUUGGGAGGAAGGGAAGUAAGUUAAUACCUUGCUGUUUUGACGUUACCAACAGAAUAAGCACCGGCUAACUUCGUG
rnacentral:rRNA from 1 species